CUCAACUGACAUCAGUAGCAGCUUUCACCAUCAUCUUUUCAAACAAAAAUGGACCUUUCCGGCAUUUCAUGGAUCAAGAUGGUGAGAAGUCGAACACUGGCUUUCAAGUCCUUAAUGGGGUGUCUGCAAACUUCCACAUAUAUUUGGAUCAGGAGGAAGGACAUAAACACACACCUGGGAUGGGAACAAUAUCAAUCCCCUGAUGGAGCAGCCAAGCUAAAGCCAACUGAACUGUGGUAUAACCAUGCUUCACAGCUAGACUUGCAAGCCUUCUGUAAAUAGCUUCAUUUUCUUCUAAACUCUUCUUGCUGAACCUUGGGUGAUAAGACUGUCAAACACAUCCCAUCAGCUUGUUAUGCAACACAAAAACAUAGACUUCAUGCCAGAAGUUGAACAGGACUCUUCUUUUAUAAACUUACCAAUAUGCUCUCACUUGGCAAGCUCUCUGCAGUUGCCUUUCCCCCAAAGAACCCUCGACCUAGAGGACUGUAAGCCACUAUCCCAAUUCCCAGCUCCCUACAAAACACCACGUCUUCAUUCAAGAUAUCACUUUGUAGGUUGAGUUAGAAGUUUUGGUUUUGAAGACUUCGCAGUUUUUCAAGAUUUGUUAUUAUGGACCUACCAAACAUGAAAUUGAAUGUGUAAAGAUCUAUUAUCUGGUUGAUUUCUUAGUCCUCUUACCUACAAAGUGGAAUUAUGUCGUCUUCGAUGUCACGACUCCACAACGAAUACUCCAUUUGAAUGACUGUGAUUGGAUGAACUGCAUGAGCUCUCCUAAUUGUGUUUGCACUUGCUUCAGACAACCCGAUGUACUUUAUCUUUCCCUCUUCCACCAGCUUCUUUAGCUCUCCCAUCUUCACAUCAACCCACCAAAGGUUCAAAAUGUAAACUCGAUACAGUUAUCAACAAAGAACGAAACAUGGGUGGCAGGAGCAAAACGAAGAAAGAAAUAGGGGAGUAAUUCACUUCGUUUCCUAAUAGUAUGUCGACUUUUGUGACUUUAUGAUACCUUUUGACUUUCUUUCUGAAAGAUGACUUACAGUUUCUUCGAUUGGCACAGAUUUGUCAAUACGAUGCUGAUAGUAGAGGUCAAUAUAAUCAACUUGAAGGCGCUCGAGACUUGCCUCACAGCAUUUCCUUACAUAUUCAGGUGUCCCAUUAACUGCAAAUUCAAAUCCUCCUAAUCGUAUAAUCCCAAACUUUGUAGCUAACUGAAUCUUCUCUCGAGGAAGCUGUUUCAAGGCCUGCAAGUUCGAACAACAAUAACUUUAGUCAAUUAGUAAGGUAUCAAACUUAAGAGUAUGUUGUUAAUAAACUUAAAUCCAUAACCUUUCAUAGUCUAUGUUAAUUAAUAAUUCAAAAUAGGACACUGACCUUUCCAAUCAUGAUUUCAUUGUCAUGAUCGGCUCCAUAAAGAUCAGAAGAAUCAAAAAAGGUUAUGCCUCUGAUGAAAGCUUGUUUGAUUAUUUUACAUCCCUCUUCAUGAGAAAGGGGACUGUUGAGAAUUCCUGAAAGUCCUGCACACCCAAACCCCAACCUUGAUACCUGCAAAUUUUAAGUUUUUCUCACCAUGAAGCCAUUAAUUCCCCCCCCCCCCCCCCCCCCCCCCCCCCUCCUUCAUCCUCCCAAGUUUUUCCUUAGAAAGUGAUCAAGCUUACCUCUAAUCCUUGGCUACCGAGUUUUACUCUGGGGAUUUGGAUCAGUUUUUGGGGCUUUCCUUCCAUUUUAAAGUAACCAGAGAGAGCUUAUACUUAGCAGAUACUGCAAUUUCCUGUGGACACAGAGAGGUGAGUUUUGAAAGUUUUGUUUUUUAUUUUUAUUGUAUAUAUUUUCACCCAAAGUUCUCAAUGAUAGCCCUUUUUCAACCUUUGUUUAUUCUUAGUGCUGAGUUUUCUAGGAAUAUUCCAUGAAAGUAGGUUGUGGGGCGUGAAUGUAAAGGCUAAACUUGAUAAAGAUAUUAGACCCAUGUUAUCUUUAAGUUGUAAAGUCUAUUCUUCCACCUAAUGGUCAUAAUUUAUAAAGUCUUAGAUUAAUAUA